UGCUGUUCGUGUCGGUUGGUUAUUUUUCACGCCAUCGCUUGUGCCAUCUCCACCGUCCGUCUGGAGAUAUAAAUAAGAACAUUUAGAAGAACAGAAAUUUCGCGCGCGUUUCAUCAAACAGUGUACCGUGUGUAUAGUGCGCGAAGGCUCUCUUGUUGUCCGUUAUCCCACACACCCUCCCACCGAUUCACUACACGGUAGUGCAGUGCCAUCACGGUUUUCGAUUGAUGUGCUCAGUGUAUCUCUUAAAAGUUGGGUAACACUUACCAGUUAAGAUUUUUAUAAUUAUUACGCAUUCAGUGUGCUAUCGAAUAAGCUUUCACAGUGUCAUACGUGAGAGCCGAAUACUAAACAAAGCUGUGAUAAACACAUAAAUAAAUUCUCUGUGGAUUUAGUUAUGGGGAGCUAAAUAGUGAAGGUGUGCGAGAGCAAACGCAAAUCGAAACGCUAUAAAGUGGUUUACAGUUCAUACAAUUAUGCAUGCAGAUUGAUAACCCGUCUUAGAGAUACUGGAAUAAUAAUAUAAUCGACGGACAGUUUUAUUGUGCAACAACAAAUUUAGUGUUCAGCAAACUAGACGAAAAUAAAACAGCGAAAUGACAUCCAGCAAGAUACAAGCCCGCCCGAAUAGGAUCCAGGCCGCAACGGCGAACAAUUCGCGGAACGGUAGUUUCGUGGCCAACAGUAAUUCCAACAACGCACUACGCAAUGUAGGCAGGCUGAAUAGAAAUCUGUUCGGUCGACCGGAUCCCGCCGAGACAACCAGGUUGGAAAAUGAAGCUCAACAGGAGACCCAGCAACGGUGGCUGAACAAAUAUAACACUGACAUCGUCAAAGAAUCGAUUUCAUAUCUUUCGUCCUCAACGUCACGCAGUAGUCCCAACAGUUAGUUUUUCCAGUCAAACGAGGGCACCAACAAAUGGCUGUGCAAAAAUGAUCCUAAGAGAUCUUACGCGAAAAAAAAUUCUUAUAGAUUCGACCCACAUCCCUGGACGGACAGGACUGACGAACUAAAGCAUAUCUGUGGUCCAUUUAGUUCCAUCGUUUCGCUGCUACAUAUACCCGCUUUCGGUUUCUCGAUUUGUGUUUUCCAUCCGCCAUUGGAGCGAGAAAGAAACGAAUAGGAAGUUCUUGUGUUGUUAUAUUGAUAAAUUUAGCAAAUUUUGUUAAAUAAGAACUAAAUUUGCUUUGUUUCUUUAGGUAGUAUUUAAGUAAAAUAGGAUAAUCGUUAAAGUUUUUUUUUCGUCUUCUAAA